AUUUGUGCAGAAUCAAGACCGUCACUGACAUGAACAGGACUCAUCGAAGCAGAAUCCAACUUUGACCUCGACUUGACCGUGCUGGCACACUUGAUGUGCUUUUAGAAAUAAGGCUGGAAGAAUCCUUCCCCCCCCCGUCCAACUCACUUGAACGCAGCGUUUAAUUGCCUUGCAGGGGGAAAAUAAUGUGACGCAUCAUGAGGAAGUCAGCACUGCAGCGUAAAGAAUGCAGGGACAUUGUUCUCAAGUACGGGGAAAAGUGACGUUACAGUCUUUACUGUCCUGCCGCUGCUGGGCUGCCACAGGAGGUCCUCGUGGGCAACGUUAAAGAUGAUGACAUCUCUGCAGACGACACACCCAGCGCUCACUGCAGGAGCGGCGUGCCAGUUCGGGAAGGCCAGGUGGAAACAGUCGCACAUGAUGGCGAAGACCGGCUCCUACAGCCCUGCCGAGGCGGUACCGAUGGAGGGGUGGCGGGGACGUCCUCGGCUCCGGUGGCACCCAAAGAUGACUUGCGAGAAAAGAGUGAGCGCGCUCGCCGCCGUCCGCCGGGUGGAGAGUGCGAGCAAGCUGUAAACACGGACCUCCAGCACUGCUCGAUAACUUCAUUAUGGGAGGAGCUGCCGGCCCACCCCCUCCCAACACAGACUCAUCCCUUUCUUCUCCUUCUUAACCUUCCUCAUCCUCCUCUUCCUCCCUCCUCGCUACAGUCUCAUUGAUCGCCCUAAUCGGACAAGGACAUUCAGCACUAAUGGGAAGGCGGUGUGUGUGUGUGUGUGUGUAACUGUUUACUGACAUGAGGCCGUAAGUUGAUUUGCUGCCGUGUACAUGCAGUUUAAAGCCCUCUUUGUAGAGGCAACUUGACGCUCCAGCAGUCGUCUUGGCUCUAUCAGACGGGCAGCGAGAAAACAAACAACAAGAAAAAGUCCUCCCAUCUAGUCUAGCCCUGUUUGAUAGUCCAACGUUGUUGAUUUAUGUCCAAGCGAUCGCCACGGUCACAAGCUUUGAGUAAGAGCGUAUAUACGUUUGUAAGGCAGCUGCUAUUUCAUGCUCACAUUUCUGCUGACUGCAGACUUCAUGGGAGCCAACAAACUUGUAUUGUCCUAGGGUUGGGCGAUAUGGCCUUUUGUUUGUCUCGAUAUUUUUGGGCCAUGUCGCGAUACACGAUAUGCAUCUCGAUAUUUUUGCCUUAGCCUUGAAUGAACACUUGAUGCAUAUAAUCA